rnacentral:misc_RNA from 1 species
AUUCGGAGAGAAAAGCUCUUCAAGAGCUCAGACAACUGGUUGAAGAAGGUACAAAGAACCACAUAUUCCAAAUUCCACCAACAGAAAAUUCCAAAAUCGGGGAAAAUCAAGCAAAGGAAGUCCAGGAAGCAGCUCAAACUUCAAGUUUACCAGAGAAGAAGCUGUCAAUUUGGGGGAUUCCUCUUCUUGAAGAUGAUCGGACGGACGUGAUCCUGCUGAAGUUUUUGAGGGCA